rnacentral:rRNA from 1 species
CAGUAGCCGCGGUAAUACAGAGGGUGCGAGCGUUAAUCGGAUUUACUGGGCGUAAAGCGUGCGUAGGCGGCUUUUUAAGUCGGAUGUGAAAUCCCUGAGCUUAACUUGGGAAUUGCAUUCGAUACUGGUUAGCUAGAGUGUGGGAGAGGAUGGUAGAAUUCCAGGUGUAGCGGUGAAAUGCGUAGAGAUCUGGAGGAAUACCGAUGGCGAAGGCAGCCAUCUGGCCUAACACUGACGCUGAGGUACGAAAGCAUGGGGAGCAAACAGGAUUAGAUACCCCAGUAGUCCCUGUCUCUUAUAC